CGUGUAGGCGGAGAUGCAAGUUGGGAGUGAAAUCCCGGGGCUUAACCCCGGAAUUGCAUUUGAAACUGUAAUACUUGAGUACUGGAGAGGUAAGUGGAAUUCCUAGUGUAGCGGUGAAAUGCGUAGAUAUUAGGAGGAACACCAGUGGCGAAGGCGACUUACUGGACAGAUACUGACGCUGAGGCGCGAAAGCGUGGGGAGCAAACAGGAUUAGAUACCCUAGUA
rnacentral:rRNA from 1 species